AUUGAACGCUGGCGGCAGGCCUAACACAUGCAAGUCGAACGAGUGGCGGACGGGUGAGUAAUGUCUGGGAAACUGCCCGAUGGAGCGGGAUAACUACUGGAAACGGUAGCUAAUACCGCAUACCAUCGGAUGUUCCACGAUGGGAUUAGCUCGUAGGUGGGGUACCGGCUCACCAAGGAGACGAUCCCUAGCUGGUCUGCGAGGAUGACCAGCCACACUGGAACUGAGACACGGGCCAGACUCCGACGGGAGGAAGCAGUGGGGAAUAUUGCACAAUGGGCGCAAGCCGGAUGCAGCCAGGCCGCGGGUAUGAAGAAGGCCUUCGGGUUGUAAAGUACUUUCAGCGAGGAGGCGUUACUCGCAGAAGAAGCAUCGGCUAACUCCGUGCCAGCAGCCGCGGUAAUAC
rnacentral:rRNA from 1 species